rnacentral:lncRNA from 1 species
AGCCACUAUCCAAGUACCAACAGUUUUUGUCGACCUUGGUUGCAAGACACUCCUACACAAGAAAAUCAUACAAUUUUAGGUACCCAAGUUUUCUUGGGUCCUUCAAGGUUAGCUAUGUUGGUUCCUUUUGGAACCUAAACCUUUUUAAUUUUUCUUUUAGUUUUUAUUCUCCUAUGGUCCCAAACAUUAGCUUUAUGUCCUACCUUUCCACAGCAAAAACGGGUCAUAUUUUUAGUUUUACUUUCUCCAGCUUUUACAAAAAAGUUUUUAAGAAAUUUUUGCUUAUUCUU